rnacentral:rRNA from 1 species
UACGUAGGCAGCAAGCGUUGUUCGGAAUUACUGGGCGUAAAGAGUGUGUAGGCGGUGCUCUAAGUCUGUUGUGAAAUCUCCCGGCUUAACUGGGAGGGUGCGGCGGAGACUGGAGUGCUAGAGUGUGGGAGAGGUAAGCGGAAUUCCUGGUGUAGCGGUGAAAUGCGUAGAUAUCAGGAGGAACACCUGUGGUGUAGACAGCUUACUGGACCACGACUGACGCUGAGACACGAAAGCGUGGGUAGAAAACAGG